GAAUGUUACUGCUAUUUUAUAAUUUGUCUAGCAGGUUUUCUGGUCUUCACCAGAAAACCCCU
ensembl:snRNA U7 U7 small nuclear RNA